UUUCUAUUCCCUCCGUUUCAUAAUUUUUGUCGAAAUAUUACAUGUAUCUAGACAUUUUUUAGGAAUAGAUAUAUUCAAUUUUGGGCAAAUUUGAGACAAGAAUUAUGAAACGGAGGGAGUACAAU
rnacentral:pre_miRNA from 1 species